GACGAACGCUGGCGGCGUGCUUAACACAUGCAAGUCGAGCGGAGCGGCGAACGGGUGAGUAACGCGUGAGUAACUGCCCCCCUCUCUGGGAUAACAGUUGGAAACGGCUGCUAAUAUCGGAUAGUGGGGGAUGACUCGCGUCCUAUCAGCUUGUUGGUGGGGUAGUGGCCUAACAAGGCGACGACGGGUAGCCGGCCUGAGAGGGCGACCGGCCACAGAGAGCUGCCAUACCGCCCAGGCUCCGACGGGGGGGAGCAGUGGGGAAUAUUGAACAAUGGGUGGAACCUGGAUGCAGCGACGCCGCGUGAGGGAUGGGGGCCUUCGGGUUGUGAACCUCUUUCAGUCGUGUGCGUGUAGCGGGUGAAGAAGCGCCGGCUAACUACGUGCCAGCAGCCGCGGUAAUUC
rnacentral:rRNA from 1 species